rfam:Aedes albopictus isolate Foshan contig105721, whole genome shotgun sequence.
UGCCCAGCAACUCCUAUCCCUACCUCCUCGUAGUACCAGCCGGAAACUACGAUCAACUUUAGGGAAGAUCGGGUAACCAACCCCGGUGGGUACUUUGGUCAUAGGCUGACAGGGAAGG